rnacentral:rRNA from 1 species
CGGGAAACCGGAGCUAAUACCGGAUAAUAUUCGAACCGCAUGGUUCGAUAGUGAAAGAUGGUUUUGCUAUCACUUAUAGAUGGACCUGCGCCGUAUUAGCUAGUUGGUAAGGUAACGGCUUACCAAGGCGACGAUACGUAGCCGACCUGAGAGGGUGAUCGGCCACACUGGAACUGAGACACGGUCCAGACUCCUACGGGAGGCAGCAGGG